rnacentral:tRNA from 1 species
CAGGGUGUAGCGCAGUCGGCUAGCGCGCAGCGUUUGGGGCACUGAGGUCGGAGGUUUAAUUCCUCUCACCCCGACC